rnacentral:tRNA from 1 species
GGGCGAGUAUGCAAGAUGGAUAAAGCAGGCAGACUGUAAAUCUGUUACAUUAUGUUUCGGGGGUUCGAAUCCCUCCUUUCCCACCA